AUUGAACGCUGGCGGCAGGCCUAACACAUGCAAGUCGAACGAGGGGCGGACGGGAGAGUAAUGUCUGGGAAACUGCCCGAUGGAGGGGGAUAACUACUGGAAACGGUAGCUAUUACCGCAUACUAUCGGGUGAGCCCAGAGGGGAUUAGCAAGUAGGUGGGGGAAAGGCUCACCUAGGCGACGAUCUCUAGCUGGUCUGAGAGGAUGAUCGGCCACACGGGGACUUAGACACGGUCCAGACUCCUACGGGAGGCAGCAGUGGGGAAUAUUGCACAAUGGGCGCAAGCCUGAUGCAGCCAUGCCGCGUGUAUGAAGAAGGCCUUAGGGUUGUAAAGUACUUUCAGCGGGGAGGCGUUACCCGCAGAAGAAGCACCGGCUAACUCCGUGCCAGCAGCCGCGGUAAUAC
rnacentral:rRNA from 1 species